GUGUCAGCCGCCGCGGUAAUACGUAGGGGGCAAGCGUUAUCCGGAAUUAUUGGGCGUAAAGCGCGCGUAGGCGGUUUUUUAAGUCUGAUGUGAAAGCCCACGGCUCAACCGUGGAGGGUCAUUGGAAACUGGAAAACUUGAGUGCAGAAGAGGAAAGUGGAAUUCCAUGUGUAGCGGUGAAAUGCGCAGAGAUAUGGAGGAACACCAGUGGCGAAGGCGACUUUCUGGUCUGUAACUGACGCUGAUGUGCGAAAGCGUGGGGAUCAAACAGGAUUAGAUACCCCCGUAGUCC
rnacentral:rRNA from 1 species